rnacentral:rRNA from 1 species
UACGUAGGGAGCAAGCGUUGUCCGGAAUCAUUGGGCGUAAAGCGCGCGUAGGCGGCCCUGUAAGUCCGCUGUGAAAGUCAAAGGCUCAACCUUUGAAAGCCGGUGGAUACUGCAGGGCUAGAGUCCGGAAGAGGCGAGUGGAAUUCCUGGUGUAGCGGUGGAAUGCGCAGAUAUCAGGAGGAACACCAAUAGCGAAGGCAGCUCUCG